CCCUUAGAUGUUCUGGGCCGCACGCGCGCUACACUGAUGCAUUCAACAAGUUCUACCUUGGCCGAGAGGCCUGGGAAAUCUUUCAAAUAUGUAUCGUGAUAGGGAUAGGUUAUUGCAAUUAUUAAUCUUGAACGAGGAAUUCCUAGUAAAUGCAGAUCAUCAUUCUGCGUUGAUUACGUCCCUGCCCUUUGUACACACCGCCCGUCGCACCUACCGAUUGAAUGAUCCGGUGAAGCCUCGGGAUUGUGCCCAGAGAACUUUAUUGUGAUUUGGGUGUGAGAACUUGUCUAAACCUUAUCAUUUAGAGGAAGGUGAAGUCGUAACA
rnacentral:rRNA from 1 species